UACGUAGGGGGCUAGCGUUGUCCGGAUUUAUUGGGCGUAAAGAGCGUGUAGGCGGCCAGGUAGGUCUGGUGUGAAAACUCGAGGCUUAACCUCGAGAUGUCAUCGGAAACCAUCUGGCUAGAGUCCGGAAGAGGAGAGUGGAAUUCCUGGUGUAGCGGUGAAACGCGCAGAUAUCAGGAAGAACACCAAUGGCGAAAGCAGCUCUCUGGGACGGUACUGACGCUGAGACGCGAAAGCGUGGGGAGCGAACAGG
rnacentral:rRNA from 1 species